GAUGAACGCUGGCGGUAUGCCUUACACAUGCAAGUCGUACGAGAGUUUUUAACUCAAGUGGCGGACGGGUGAUUAACACGUAAGAAUUUACCUUUAGGAGGGGGAUAACAACUGGAAACGGUUGCUAAUACCCCAUCUGCUUUCGUGUGAACUGGGUUUCCGACUAAAGCAAAGCUUGCGGCUGAUUAGCUUGUUGGUGAGGUAAUGGCUCACCAAGGCAACGAUCAGUAUCUCUUUUGAGAGGAUGCUCAGACACACUGGAACUGAGACACGGUCAAGACUCAUACGGGAGGCUGCACUGGUGAAUUUUCCGCAAUGGGCGAAAGCCUGAAGGAGCAAUACCGCGUGAGGAAUGCAGGCCUAUGGGUUGUAAACCUCUAUUUUCAUGGAGGAAUCUAUGACGGGUACCUGAAGAAUAAGCAUCGGCUAACUCCAUGCCAGCCGCCGCGGUAACAC
rnacentral:rRNA from 1 species